CUCAACGAAAUAACACCUCAAUUCAUAUUCAAUUUCAAGUUCUUUUUCGAUAAUUCCCAAGUAACUGUAAAAACAAAAAAAUAUAUUAGAAUUAUUAUUUAAUUUUGAAGAAUAUUCAAAUAUGAAGAAUAUUCAAUUUUGAAAAAUUUAAUUUUUCAAAAAUGACAGUAAAAAUAAAAGUGAAUAGAGAGAGAGAGAAAAAAAUGAUUUAAAUAAAAGUGAGUGAAUAAAGAAAAAUGAGUGUUAUCAAAUUAAUUCAAUUGUUGACACUACAUUUAAUUUUAGUGUCAGCUGUCGUGAAACCAAGUGGUAUUUACGUGGACAAUGGUUAUGAUAAAACAAUAUUUCAAGAGAUAACAAAUGAGGGAAAUCGAAAAUAUCUUCGCGAGGAGAUUCUCAAUAUUCUUGAAAUUCCCAUUGACAUCGAAGAACAAAAACAGGAAAAAACACCAACUUCCGCGUCGAGUUUUCUAAUGGAUAUUUAUCAUUUGACAAAUGAAAAUGAAUCGAAAAUGAUGCACGAACAGGAAUUGAAAAAUUUGCAAUAUUUCGAUGUUAACGAUGUGGGAAUGAAUAGUAUUAUUGAAAGUGAUCUCAUUACAACAUUGGCAGCGCGUAACAGUAAAAAACCGGGUAUUCAAAAAACCACUAAAGUCAAACGCUUGUGGUUUAAUGUUUCGCGAAUAUCGCCCGACGACACAAUUAUUCGCGGUGAAUUGAAAUUAUUUCGCAAUAUCGAGAGUGGUGUUUCGAGGAAAAACAAAGGAUUGGUGACAUUAAACGUCUAUCGAAUUGCAAGUGAUCGUGACAUUGAUGGGAAUCGUGAUAUGAUUUUUGUUGAUUCUGUCAAUACGACAGAAAGUGGCGGUUGGGUUACAUUAAAUGUUACGGAGUCGCUUCAUUUUUGGCUUCGCGAUUUGGACGUGAAUCGUGGACUUUAUUUGGAGGCUUAUUCAAAUGGUGGUGUGGAAAAUAUACGACCCGAAGCCGUUGGUAUUGUGAGUUUUCAAGGUGUUCCUGAGAAACGACCAUUUCUUGUUGUUUACGGUAAUAGAAAGACAGUGAGGCGAAGACGAGGAUUGGAAUAUUUUCAAUCGAGUGAUAAAAAAACGUUUCAAUCGAUUGCAAUGAAAUCGCGAUUGCCAACGACAUGUCGCAAGGAAACUUUGUAUGUUAACUUUAGAGAUUUAAAUUUACACACUAUAAUAAUUGCUCCAAGAGGCUAUGACGCUUUCUACUGUAAUGGACCGUGUAAUUAUCCGUUGAAUUUUAAUAUGAACUCCACAAAUCAUGCGAUUAUUCAGUCGUUCAUUAAUUUGAAACAUCCAGAUCGUGCUCCAAAACCGUGUUGUGUUCCCAGUAAAACAUCAACGAUUCACGUCAUCUUUCGAACUAGCGAGGAUACAAUAGUUAUUAAAAAACGAGAAGAUAUGACAGUCGACAGUUGUGGAUGUCUUUGAAAAAAAAUCAUCAUUUUCAAAAUUAAGACAAAACUUUCUGCAAAAAGAUGCAAAUUAUAACGAUUUUAAAAAUUUUUAUACAGAAAAAUAAUUUUAUUAUCACUUUGAAAAAAAUUAAAUAAUAAUAAAUAUGUAUGUAAAAAGAAUAACGUGCUCUUUAAAAAUCACAAUUUUACUCAAUUCAACAAUAAAUGAGAAUAUUAUUAAUUUUAAUAAAUUCUAAAGAAUAAAAGAAUUAUGUCAUUCAGAUAUUUAUCAACAGAUGUUUCUAUUCAAAAACAGAGGGAAAAGAAGACUAUUUUUAGAAAUCAAAACAAUAAUAAAUACUCGUCGAAAUAUUCCCCUGAGGUCAUGAAAGCAAAAAAAGUAAACAGCUCUGUACAAAUAAUUAUUUUUGAAAUAAUUGACAAUUUUUCCAAAAGAAAAGACAUUUAUUCAGUCUUCAAAUUAACACUCAAGGUUCAACUCUAAUUUUUAGAAUCCAAAAAAAGGAAAUUCAAAACUGAAUUAAAUAUUUCGAUACAAAAAAGACAAAAAAAAAUUACUGAAAAAUUUACUAUGUUUAUUUUUAUAAUUUAAAUUGUCAAGAAUUUUAUAAUACCUCGUGAUAGAAGUGUGAAUUUCUGUUCCGUUGAUUGUCAAUUACUAAGACAAAUUGAAGAUAUUUGCCACGAGUUGAUUUAUUUAAUUGAUGGUGAAUAUGAAUCAAUGAUGCAUCGAAAAUCCAGACAUCUUGUGCUCCCGAAAAAAAUCGAAAAGUCAAAUCCUUUGGAAUUCAAGAGCGGCAUUUGGUGGGAGGUAACAUGUGCAAAAGAUGUGGGGAACCAAGGGAGUCCGAAGUCUCUGACCCACUGACAUUCUCCUCAGUUUCAGUCAUGCAGUGAACGUCGAUAUAAUCAAAAUUGUCGCGAUUUUCAGUGUCUGUGCAAUUUAAAAAGUUCAAGGUGAUUAAACAAUAAAAAAUAUAUUAUUUUGGAAAAAAAAUAAUAAUUAAAUAUUGUCAUAAAAUAAACAAUAAUUAAUUAAUAAAAUAACGAAUG